rnacentral:rRNA from 1 species
UAAGGAAUAUUGGUCAAUGGUGGGAACACUGAACCAGCCAUCCCGCGUGCAGGACGAAGGCCCUCUGGGUUGUAAACUGCUUUUGACAGGGAAGAAACGGGCGGACUUGUCUGCCCCUGACGGUACCUGUGGAAUAAGCACCGGCUAACUCCGUGCCAGCAGCCGCGGUAAUACGGAGGGUGCGAGCGUUAUCCGGAAUCACUGGGUUUAAAGGGUGCGUAGGCGGCUUGGUAAGUCAGGGGUGAAAGCUUCCCGCUCAACGGGAGAACUGCCCUUGAUACUGCCAGGCUCGAAUUGGGUUGAGGCAGGCGGAAUGUGGCAUGUAGCGGUGAAAUGCUUAGAUAUGCCAUAGAACACCGAUUGCGAAGGCAGCCUGCCAAGCCUUGAUUGACGCUGAGGC